CGUAAUCUGCGUCGGUCGGUCCCAAACACCUGAGCAAGGGAAGGGAGAACGACCUUUUGUAGAGUCGGCCAUCCAUGAUCACAUAUUGGGAGGCUGACCAUCGGAGCCGCCUGGCCUCCGCGGGAUCUUCAGGGCUGAUCCCGUCGGUCAGGUACCGAACAAUCGGAUCCAUCCAGCUUGGUUCGGCCGUCAGUUGUAGCACCUCCUCGACCUUGUCG
rnacentral:lncRNA from 1 species